CUAUGCGCCUUGCCAGCCCGCUCAGGUGUGCCAGCAGCCGCGGUAAUACGUAGGGGGCAAGCGUUAUCCGGAUUUACUGGGUGUAAAGGGAGCGUAGACGGCCAGACAAGUCUGAAGUGAAAAUCCAGCGCUUAACGUUGGAAGUGCUUUGGAAACUGCCGGGCUAGAGUGCAGGAGGGGCAGGCGGAAUUCCUAGUGUAGCGGUGAAAUGCGUAGAUAUUAGGAGGAACACCAGUGGCGAAGGCGGCCUGCUGGACUGCAACUGACGUUGAGGCUCGAAGGCGUGGGGAGCAAACAGG
rnacentral:rRNA from 1 species